rnacentral:rRNA from 1 species
AUACGUAGGGGGCGAGCGUUGUCCGGAAUGAUUGGGCGUAAAGGGCGCGUAGGCGGCCCGGUAAGUCUGGAGUGAAAGUCCUGUUUUUAAGAUGGGAAUUGCUUUGGAUACUGUCGGGCUUGAGUGCAGGAGAGGUAAGUGGAAUUCCCAGUGUAGCGGUGAAAUGCGUAGAGAUUGGGAGGAACACCAGUGGCGAAGGCGACUUACUGGACUGUAACUGACGCUGAGGCGCGAAAGUGUGGGGAGCAAACAGGGUUAGAUACCCUGGUAGUCCACACUGUAAACGAUGAAUGCUAGGUGUAGGGGGUAUCGACCCCUUCUGUGCCGCAGUCAACACAAUAAGCAUUCCGCCUGGGGAGUACGGCCGCAAGGUUGAAACUCAAAUGAAUUGACGGGG